rnacentral:rRNA from 1 species
GAAUUUUCCGCAAUGGGCGAAAGCCUGACGGAGCAACGCCGCGUGAAGGAUGAAGGCCUUCGGGUCGUAAACUUUUGUCUUUGGGGACCAUAAUGACGGUACUCAAGGAGGAAGCCCCGGCUAACUACGUGCCAGCAGCCGCGGUAAUACGUAGGGGGCGAGCGUUGUCCGGAAUUACUGGGCGUAAAGGGCGUGUAGGCGGCCUGAUAAGUCAGAUGUGAAAUCCCAAGGCUCAACCGUGGGUUUGCAUUUGAAACUGUUGGGCUUGAGGGCAGGAGAGGGAAGCGGAAUUCCCAGUGUAGCGGUGAAAUGCGUAGAUAUUGGGAGGAACACCAGUGGCGAAGGCGGCUUCCUGGACUGCACCUGACGCUGAGGCGCGAAAGCUAGGGGAGCGAAC